rnacentral:tRNA from 1 species
UGAGUGAUUAACUCAAUUGGUAGAGUGUUUUAUUUACAUUGAAAAGGUUAAAGGUUCAAAUCCUUUAUCACUCAU